ensembl:rRNA 5S_rRNA 5S ribosomal RNA
AUCUACGGCCAUACCAUCCUGAAAGUGCAUGAUCCCGUCAGAUCUCAAAUGCAAUCAAGGGUAGGGCUUGUUCAGUACCAGUGUGGGUGACUGACUGGGAAUAGCAAGUGCUGUAGUCA